rnacentral:tRNA from 1 species
GGUGGCGCAGUGGGUAAGCGUUUGGCUGCUAACCAAAAGGCCGGUAGUUAAAAUCCACCAGCCGCCC